rnacentral:rRNA from 1 species
UACGAAGGGUGCAAGCGUUACUCGGAAUUACUGGGCGUAAAGCGUGCGUAGGUGGUUCGUUAAGUCUGAUGUGAAAGCCCUAGGCUCAACCUGGGAACUGCAUUGGAUACUGGCGAUCUGGAGUGCGGUAGAGGGUAGCGGAAUUCCCGGUGUAGCAGUGAAAUGCGUAGAUAUCGGGAGGAACAUCCGUGGCGAAGGCGGCUACCUGGACCAGCNACUGACACUGAGGCACGAAAGCGUGGGGAGC